rnacentral:rRNA from 1 species
CCUACGGGUGGCAGCAGUGAGGAAUAUUGGUCAAUGGACGAGAGUCUGAACCAGCCAAGUAGCGUGAAGGAUGACUGCCCUAUGGGUUGUAAACUUCUUUUAUAUGGGAAUAAAAUGUUCCACGUGUGGGAUUUUGUAUGUACCAUAUGAAUAAGGAUCGGCUAACUCCGUGCCAGCAGCCGCGGUAAUACGGAGGAUCCGAGCGUUAGCCGGAUUUAUUGGGUUUAAAGGGAGCGUAGGUGGAUUGUUAAGUCAGUUGUGAAAGUUUGCGGCUCAACCGUAAAAUUGCAGUUGAAACUGGCAGUCUUGAGGACAGUAGAGGUGGGCGGAAUUCGUGGUGUAGCGGUGAAAUGCUUAGAUAUCACGAAGAACUCCGAUUGCGAAGGCAGUUCACUGGACUGCAACUGACACUGAGGCUCGAAAGUGUGGGUAUCAAACAGGAUUAGAUACCCGUGUAGUC